GCCAGAGUGGUACUGUGGUUUUUAAUGCUGGACUACAACUUUGGAGACCAGGGUUCAAAUCCCUGCUCAACA